UUGGAGAAGAGAGGGUUUCAGGAAGAAAGGUAAGACUCCUCAGGCUGAAGACCACAGGGAGUGAGCAGAGGGGACCAAGAGGUGCCUUGAAGGUUUCUGAUGCUGUCAUUGGAACUAGGGUCCUUCACAUGCUGGGAGCAGAAGUCAGGUGAACAAAGGAGGAAGUCUGUCUGCUCAUCACACUGAUGGGUGUUUCUGAAGCUCUCCGGAAUGUUAUGUGUGAAACUACCUGGACAUGUGUGACUUCUUUGAUUCUUCCAGGCUGUGCCUCCAGGCUCCAGGGCACUGACACCUCCUCUGGUGCUCCUGCCUCCGUCCCCUCUUGAGUGUGGGCUGUGACUCCUUUCUCACAAGUACAACAUGGCGAGGUUGGCAGCGGUGUGUGUGUGGAGGCUUCUUAAGGAUGCAACGAGGCAAAUUUGAACAGACUCAAACUGCUCUACCAGUGUCUUCAAAGAAGAAUGUAAACUGAUUUUUUCCUAAUUUAUAUUUCCUUAUCUCAAAAACGUUUUUAAUUAGUAAAAACAAAGGACACAUUUAAAAUCAGGUAAAAAUCAUGUUUUUCUUUUAAUUGACACCAUUUCCUCUCUUGGCUGCUACUUUGGUAAUAAUUAGGUCCCCACCUCUCAAGAACACUGCCUCUGAACAGGCUGAGGCACAGCCAGUGUGAACACAAGGCCCCAAACCAGGGCUUUUGGAAUAA